CAUUAUUUUAGCUUUCCCUCCGGGUUUUUUCCACUAAAAUCACCUAUUCCCUCUAUUUCUAAUCAACAACUAAGUUCAAAAAAUUUGAAAAAUAUUUCAAAAAUACAAAUGAAGUUUAUCCUCGCCGCUGCCUUCUUUUCAUUAUAGUUGGCCACCAUCCCAAAGUAACUUUUUGCUGCCAUCGUGCCUUCUCUGUAUCACUGUCGAACGUCAUCAUCCAUCCCCAGUAAAAGAUUUUCAUCACCGCUGCUCAUCCGCCGUUUCACCAUUGUCACUACCAUCUCACAGUAAGACAACUUAUCUUUAUUUUGGCUUUGUUGAGAUGAUUAGGAUUGUCUAGUACAUAUGAAGAAGAUGAUGAUUGUUCUCCCACAUACCCAAUAUCUUAUUAUUGCAAUUAACCCUAAUAUUUUAACUGUAAAUUAUCGAGGGUAAUUGGAUUACUCUUUGUUACUUGCAGUGGGUUAUUAAUUGAAGAUUAGGGAACUAGGAAUAUGAAUUUGGAGAGAGGGGCGAGAGAAUAGAAAGAAAAAGAGUUUGUGACAAAGGUGAGAUCUUUAUAGUGAAUCCUCUGUACAAAAAAUAUAUUAUGAAACAUACAAGAUUAUCUUAUAAACAUGGUAUGCCUAUUCUUUCCAUUUAAGAGUACUGGGUCUCAUCUUUCUUUAGACGUAUGAUUGGUAUUUACUGGGUUUAUCAUGACUGGAAUGAAAGUUGAGAAAAAGGAAUUAGGUGUAAGUUGAUAUUAAUUCUCGUAAGUAGAUACAUAUUUAGAUUAAUUCUACUUUAACUUGGAAUAAGAAUCAAAAAAUGAAGGAAAACUGCAUGAUGAAGAUAUGAACAGAUUCUUUCAAAGUGUAGUAAACUUGGCUGACCAAUAUUAUAUCCUCUAAAUAUUUGAUAAUAAGUAAACUCUCCAUUCAAGUAGAAGUUUGAUAUGUGUUAUGAAGUAGUGAUACUGUUACAGCAUAACAGACAAUAGAAACAAGAAAAGAAAUAUCACAAAUAAAGUUGCUUUGAACAACAUCAUAUUAAAAGCACCCAGAGAUUGAAGAAAAGGGGAUAGAGUACAACACUACUCACAUCUAUUGAUUAUCUGCUUCUUUCUCUACUUAAAUCACUUAGUUUUUUUUAUAUUUUAAAUUGGAAUAAAUCUUAAUAAAUACUUUUUAGUUUAUUUUCCAGAUUUCUUAUAACUAGGUCUAACGAUACAUACAAAUAUUAGUCUAUACAUAGCAAAAUACGCUAAAGUAAGUUGCAGCGCAACACCCGUAAUUAAUUUAUGAAGGUGUUCCAUCCCAUACGACAAGAUGAAGAGAAUGAUCAUUUCUAAUGCACUUAAUAUUAGUCUACAUAUAGUACUAUUUUUUUAUACGGAUAUACUACCCUCCUCUUAUCUAGGAUAUCGAGGCUCGAGAUAAGACAUAUAUACUGUUUUAGGUAAGCUUCCAUCAAAGGUUGGAUGGAACCAUUAUGAUAGAAUCAGGGUAAGUUUCUUAUAUCUUGUUUAUGACCUAUCCUACAUUCAUUCUCUCUAGUUAGUUGUGGUAUUACUUCACAUUUGAAAUCAAUGAAACAACAUAUAGCAGUUGAUCGUUAUUUCUUGUUAAAUAAUUUCUUUGACUUCAUUUUCAUGUAUUGUUUACCAAUAUAAAAUUUUAAUUUUCUACUCCAAGUAUCACAUGUAGUUCCUUUUCUUUGUGAUUAGCCCUUAUUCAUGUAACAAUGAGCUCCGACUCUUUUUUCUGCAGUUUUUAUGAGAUGAGUUUUCAUACUCGUUCCUGCAAUUAGAAUUGAAGUCUUAAUUUUUUGUUAGAAUAUCUGACUAUCAAUGGUAGCUUCUCCCUUAUUUGUGAUAACCACAGAAUCUUGAAAAUAAGAGAGCUCAAGAAACAUAUGAGAGGAGAAGAUAGUUAGCAAAACAAAUAGUACAAGCGCCAGGGAUGCCAUUUUAAAGUAACAAUUUUUUCUUCGUUUUAUAUUUGAAUAUAUAUUUUGCUAAUAUUUGUUCUUGAAAUUGUUGAGAACUCAUAGAAACAGAUAGUAUGAACUACGCGAAAUAGGUUCUUUGUAUUGCUAGUAAUUGCAACCGUAUGUUUAGAAAAGGUAAAAAUCAAUGUGUUGUUAGUGGUCUUUAUAUCUCUUUACGCUAGUCUUAACGAUCAGUCCAUUUUUCUUAAACUAUCUUGUGUAGGAAGAUUCCUGUUUUAAUUUGGUUGAAAUUACUAUACUUGAACUGCAAAAUAUUGUUGUUUGAUUACCAACUGGUUGGAGGCAUUAGGGACUUUUGAAAUGGCAUCUUAGGCAAUCCUAAUUCCAAAGAUAGUAAUCGAACCUUAAGUAUGUAGAUUAUUUUGAACGAGAAGAUAUUUAGUCUACUCCACACAUCCAAAUUUUAAUACCUUGAUAGUACUCCAGCUCCUUCACCACCAAAAGAGACUAUUAAUAACAUUUCUUUAGAUCCACUAUCAGAAAUUUAUUGUAGCAUCUUUUGUAAAACUUUAAGUCUUAAUCAUGUAAGAACCAUCUAAUUUUUUUGGCAGGUCCUGUGAAUUUGAUAUUGAGAAAAGAAUUUGAAAGUUCUUAUAAGAGAAGAGAUAGAGGUAGAAAUAAUUGAUUUUAUUUUUUCUAGUGAACUUCAGGAAAUGUGUGUUCCUAUUUCUAUUAAUAAGGACUUAAUUUAUUUUGAGUUUAGCUGUAUUGCGAUGGUUUUUAGGAAAAAAUUAUAUAUUUAUUUUCAUCAUUAAUUUUACUAGGUGUGAAUUAUGUGGAUAUAACAUAGAAAUGUAAGGAAAGAUUACUAUAUAUACUAGCAAUUUAUCUGUAAAUAUUUGUGUGACACAAUCUUUGGUCUCUAUUUUCGUGUGCCUCUUUAAUAGCAAGCAGAGAGAAGAAUCUUGAAACUGGAGUAAAAAUAUCACUUUUGCAUCCUUGUCAGGUCUUUGGCUUUUGCAUAUUUCUCUGGGCUUCUUUCUUUUUCUAAAAAGAAAUGUGAAUAUCUCCAUUCUAGUAGACAAAAACAGCAAGUGCUCCACAUAUUUGUGCUAUCUACUUGUUGUAUUGGUAUUGUUAAGAACAAAUAGACUUGAGAAAUCUACAAUCCCAAUAAAAAAUAUUGGAUCUUUUAGAACGCGCUCGUAUAAGGUUGUUUGGCAAAUAUUUAUUUAAAUGUCUUUGUGAAGUUGAUUCUGAGCCUAUGCUACUUUGAGAUCUUCAAGUACGCAUCUAUUUUUUUGAGAAAAAACAUUAACAACAAACUUCUUGUACAUUUGAUUUUGAUGGGAGUUUGUAGUAGCAAUUCCUUGAUACGCUAGUGUAUAUGCAUGUAAACACCCGAAAAUUAUUUUUCUGACUAUUAAUGAACUUCAUAUGUGGUUAUUUAUUUAUAUUUAUUUUAUUUGUCAUUUCAGGUCAUACAUUAUAGCGGUCAAAUCUUCGCUCAUAGCAGAUUACAUUAUGAUCAAGAGUUGGAGAAUCUUUCUAUGUCGCUUAUUGUAUGUAGCUAUUUGAUAAAAUAACUUAUUAGAUGCAAAAUGACACUAGGUGUUAUAUUUAAAUAGGUUAGCAUUUUGUUAUAUUGUUGACACUUCCAAUUUUUGGAUUAAUAAUUUCGGUUGUUGCAGAUUAAUGAAGUGCAUUAAGACCUUUGAAGAGUAUUCAUUUUUAAGGUUAAUAAGAAUACCAG
rnacentral:lncRNA from 1 species